rnacentral:lncRNA from 1 species
GGGUUUGGUAGCCACUUGAUGCUCCUUAGUCAUGCAUUUAGCCUCUCCAGCACCCAGCAGCAAGGCAGGAGCUAUUCAAAUGGAGAAUAAUUGGCAGAAGACCAAACAGUCUUACUCUACUAAAACCCUAGAGGACUUGUGCCUUCGGAUCCUGAUUUAUUAAGUGAGAAGUCCACUAUCCUGAAGCUGCUAUGCCGGAGAGACUAUGUGAAAAGAUCAUAUAGAAGUAGAAAGAUGCCCAAGAAGCCAUAUAUGCUUCUUCCUGUAGCUGUUUCAGUCUGCCCACCCAGGGAUCGGACAUGUUAGAGAAAGAGUCUUAAAGAUUAUCCCAACCCCAGCCACCACGUGACUGCAACCUCAUGAAAACCCCACACCAGAACAGUGGUAUCAGCUCAAACUUUGCAAGGGCUAGGAGACUGAGGGCAGCUGACCAGAUUUAUGUGAUUGAGCCUAAUAAACUGGCCUGAGUAAGCUUCCCUGGUUGACAAUAUUCUGCGAGUAUUAUCACACACUGGAUGUCAGGAAAUUAACACUGUCCACAACUCAUGGAAAGGACAACUGGGAGUUCUGUG